rnacentral:misc_RNA from 1 species
UUAAGUUCAGCGGGUAGUCCUACCUGAUUUGAGAUCAAACGUUCAAAAAGCUGUCUUCACUGAAGAAAGACGUUUAUGAGCCCCAGCGCACCUCCAUCACUGAAGGUUAUCUGGUGGAAAACCACAAGCGUAGAUAGUUAUCACACCUGCGACGCCACCAAACACUGGGAAGCUGAUUCAUUUGAGAGGAGCCGACCACA